CAGAUGAACGCUGGCGGCAGGCCUAACACAUGCAAGUCGAGCGGAUGAAGGGAGCUUGCUCCUGGAUUCAGCGGCGGACGGGUGAGUAAUGCCUAGGAAUCUGCCUGGUAGUGGGGGAUAACGUCCGGAAACGGGCGCUAAUACCGCAUACGUCCUGAGGGAGAAAGUGGGGGAUCUUCGGACCUCACGCUAUCAGAUGAGCCUAGGUCGGAUUAGCUAGUUGGUGGGGUAAAGGCCUACCAAGGCGACGAUCCGUAACUGGUCUGAGAGGAUGAUCAGUCACACUGGAACUGAGACACGGUCCAGACUCCUACGGGAGGCAGCAGUGGGGAAUAUUGGACAAUGGGCGAAAGCCUGAUCCAGCCAUGCCGCGUGUGUGAAGAAGGUCUUCGGAUUGUAAAGCACUUUAAGUUGGGAGGAAGGGCAGUAAGUUAAUACCUUGCUGUUUUGACGUUACCAACAGAAUAAGCACCGGCUAACUUCGUGCCAGCAGCCGCGGUAAUACGAAGGGUGCAAGCGUUAAUCGGAAUUACUGGGCGUAAAGCGCGCGUAGGUGGUUCAGCAAGUUGGAUGUGAAAUCCCCGGGCUCAACCUGGGAACUGCAUCCAAAACUACUGAGCUAGAGUACGGUAGAGGGUGGUGGAAUUUCCUGUGUAGCGGUGAAAUGCGUAGAUAUAGGAAGGAACACCAGUGGCGAAGGCGACCACCUGGACUGAUACUGACACUGAGGUGCGAAAGYGUGGGGAGCAAACAGGAUUAGAUACCCUGGUAGUCCACGCCGUAAACGAUGUCGACUAGCCGUUGGGAUCCUUGAGAUCUUAGUGGCGCAGCUAACGCGAUAAGUCGACCGCCUGGGGAGUACGGCCGCAAGGUUAAAACUCAAAUGAAUUGACGGGGGCCCGCACAAGCGGUGGAGCAUGUGGUUUAAUUCGAAGCAACGCGAAGAACCUUACCUGGCCUUGACAUGCUGAGAACUUUCCAGAGAUGGAUUGGUGCCUUCGGGAACUCAGACACAGGUGCUGCAUGGCUGUCGUCAGCUCGUGUCGUGAGAUGUUGGGUUAAGUCCCGUAACGAGCGCAACCCUUGUCCUUAGUUACCAGCACCUCGGGUGGGCACUCUAAGGAGACUGCCGGUGACAAACCGGAGGAAGGUGGGGAUGACGUCAAGUCAUCAUGGCCCUUACGGCCAGGGCUACACACGUGCUACAAUGGUCGGUACAAAGGGUUGCCAAGCCGCGAGGUGGAGCUAAUCCCAUAAAACCGAUCGUAGUCCGGAUCGCAGUCUGCAACUCGACUGCGUGAAGUCGGAAUCGCUAGUAAUCGUGAAUCAGAAUGUCACGGUGAAUACGUUCCCGGGCCUUGUACACACCGCCCGUCACACCAUGGGAGUGGGUUGCUCCAGAAGUAGCUAGUCUAACCGCAAGGGGACGGUACCACGGAGUGAUCAUGACUGGGUGAU
rnacentral:rRNA from 1 species